rnacentral:rRNA from 1 species
AGUGAACGCUGGCGGUAGGCCUAACACAUGCAAGUCGAACGGCAGCACAGUAAGAGCUUGCUCUUACGGGUGGCGAGUGGCGGACGGGUGAGGAAUACAUCGGAAUCUACUUUUUCGUGGGGGAUAACGUAGGGAAACUUACGCUAAUACCGCAUACGACCUACGGGUGAAAGCAGGGGAUCUUCGGACCUUGCGCGUUUGAAUGAGCCGAUGUCGGUUUAGCUAGUUGGCGGGGUAAAGGCCCACCAAGGCGACGAUCCGUAGCUGGUCUGAGAGGAUGAUCAGCCACACUGGAACUGAGACACGGUCCAGACUCCUACGGGAGGCAGCAGUGGGGAAUAUUGGACAAUGGGCGCAAGCCUGAUCCAGCCAUACCGCGUGGGUGAAGAAGGCCUUCGGGUUGUAAAGCCCUUUUGUUGGGAAAGAAAAGCAGCAGGUUAAUACCCCGCUGUUCUGACGGUACCCAAAGAAUAAGCACCGGCUAACUUCGUG